UACAGAGGGUGCAAGCGUUGUUCGGAAUUACUGGGCGUAAAGCGCGUGUAGGCGGCUCGACAAGUCUCGUGUGAAAGCCCUGGGCUCAACCCAGGAAGUGCGCGAGAUACUGCUGAGCUGGAGUGUCGGAGAGGAUGGCGGAAUUCCCGGUGUAGAGGUGAAAUUCGUAGAUAUCGGGAGGAACACCUGUGGCGAAGGCGGCCAUCUGGACGAUAACUGACGCUGAGACGCGAAAGCAUGGGGAGCAAACAGG
rnacentral:rRNA from 1 species